rnacentral:rRNA from 1 species
CCCAGACAGCCAGGAUGUUGGCUUAGAAGCAGCCAUCAUUUAAAGAAAGCGUAAUAGCUCACUGGUCGAGUCGGCCUGCGCGGAAGAUGUAACGGGGCUAAACCAUGCACCGAAGCUGCGGCAGCGAACGUAUCACUUAAAGCGAUUCAGCGGGUUACGAUUGACGGAGCGAAGCGACGUCAAAGCGUAUUCAAAGUCGAGUUGGCUUAGGGAUACGUUCGUUGGGUAGGGGAGCGUUCUGUAAGCCUGUGAAGGUGUGUCGUGAGGCAUGCUGGAGGUAUCAGAAGUGCGAAUGCUGACAUAAGUAACGAUAAAGCGGGUGAAAAGCCCGCUCGCCGGAAGACCAAGGGUUCCUGUCCAACGUUAAUCGGGGCAGGGUGAGUCGACCCCUAAGGCGAGGCCGAAAGGCGUAGUCGAUGGGAAACGGGUUAAUAUUCCCGUACUUGGUGUUACUGCGAAGGGGGGACGGAGAAGGCUAUGUUGGCCGGGCGACGGUUGUCCCGGUUUAAGCGUGUAGGUGUGUGUUCCAGGUAAAUCCGGUUCACUUUAACACUGAGGCGUGACGACGAGGCACUACGGUGCUGAAGCAACAAAUGCCCUGCUUCCAGGAAAAGCCUCUAAGCAUCAGGUAACACGAAAUCGUACCCCAAACCGACACAGGUGGUCAGGUAGAGAAUACCAAGGCGCUUGAGAGAACUCGGGUGAAGGAACUAGGCAAAAUGGUGCCGUAACUUCGGGAGAAGGCACGCUGACACGUAGGUGA